UACGAAGGGGGCUAGCGUUGCUCGGAAUCACUGGGCGUAAAGGGUGCGUAGGCGGGUCUUUAAGUCAGGGGUGAAAUCCUGGAGCUCAACUCCAGAACUGCCUUUGAUACUGAAGAUCUUGAGUUCGGGAGAGGUGAGUGGAACUGCGAGUGUAGAGGUGAAAUUCGUAGAUAUUCGCAAGAACACCAGUGGCGGAAGGCGGCUCACUGGCCCGAUACUGACGCUGAGGCACGAAAGCGUGGGGGAGCAAACAGG
rnacentral:rRNA from 1 species